rnacentral:rRNA from 1 species
CGUCAGCUCGUGUCGUGAGAUGUUGGGUUAAGUCCCGCAACGAGCGCAACCCUUGUCCUUAGUUGCCACCAUUCAGUUGGGCACUCUAAGGAGACUGCCGGUGUUAAACCGGAGGAAGGUGGGGAUGACGUCAAGUCCUCAUGGCCCUUAUAUCCAGGGCUACACACGUGCUACAAUGGCCGGUACAAAGGGUCGCAAUACCGCGAGGUGGAGCUAAUCCCAAAAAGCCGGUCUCAGUUCGGAUUGGAGUCUGCAACUCGACUCCAUGAAGUCGGAAUCGCUAGUAAUCGCGUAUCAGCGUGACGCGGUGAAUACGUUCCCGGGCCUU